CACCCUACGGGACGCAGCAGUGAGGAAUAUUGGUCAAUGGGCGGGAGCCUGAACCAGCCAAGUCGCGUGAGGGACGACGGUCCUAUGGAUUGUAAACCUCUUUUGUCGGGGAACAAAGGCGCCCACGGGUGGGCGGAUGGGUGUACCCGAAGAAAAAGCAUCGGCUAACUCCGUGCCAGCAGCCGCGGUAAUACGUAGGGGGCAAGCGUUAUCCGGAUUUACUGGGUGUAAAGGGAGCGUAGACGGCCAGACAAGUCUGAAGUGAAAAUCCAGCGCUUAACGUUGGAAGUGCUUUGGAAACUGCC
rnacentral:rRNA from 1 species